UACGAACUGUGCGAACGUUAUUCGGAAUCACUGGGCUUACAGGGUGCGUAGGCGGCUUGUUAAGUAGGGUGUGAAAGCCCCCCGGCUCAACCGGGGAAUUGCGCCCUAAACUGGCGAGCUGGAGUGAGAUAGGGGGUGUGUGGAACUUCCGGUGGAGCGGUGAAAUGUGUUGAUAUCGGAAGGAACGCCGGUGGCGAAAGCGACACACUGGAUCUUGUCUGACGCUGAGGCACGAAAGCGUGGGGGAGCAAACAGG
rnacentral:rRNA from 1 species